UUGACAUAUAAAAUUCAUUGGACAACCUCUCCAUGCUAACCAUUGUCUUGGGUGCCCUCUAGCAUCUAUUCUGUUUUUGCCCUGUUUUUUUCUAGUGUCUUUCUUUAUUAUCUCUGUCCUUAAUAUUAAUGGUGUACAUAAACAUUUUCGUAGUAAUUUUUUUUUUCUUUUUUCUCUCUUUUCCCAUUAAACAGUAAUUAUUUUCUUGUUACGGGUAUCGUUUUUGAGGAAUCUGAGGAGUUGUUGUGGCCGUCUAAAUUCUAUAAACGCAUGACGUUAAAACAAAGGAGAAGAACAAGAACAAGAAGAAGCAGAAUAACAAGUGCAUGAGUCUCUGUGAUUACAUUGAUAUGAUCUCCGAACCCGAAAAAACAAAUUUUCUAUUUCUGGCUUUAUUUACCAAAAUCUUACAUUUUUUUUUCCCUUCUGUGUCUUUGGGUUGUGGGGGUUAUUUGGUUUUGUGCAGGGGUUUUCUUUCCUUCAUUUUAGUUGGGGGUUUGACAGUUUUGGUCUGCUUCUUUUUCUGUGUGUGAUAUUUCUCGUGUCUCAACAAAGGAAAUUUCAGAUGGUGGGUGGUAACAAUCCGGGGCAGUACAAUGACACAAGUUUUACCAAAAUCUUCGUGGGAGGCUUGGCUUGGGAAACUCAACGGGAUACCAUGAGGAGGUAUUUUGAGCAAUUCGGAGAGAUCCUGGAGGCUGUUGUUAUCACAGAUAAGAACAGUGGGAGAUCCAAGGGUUACGGUUUUGUUACAUUCAAAGAUCCAGAGGCAGCCUUGAGAGCAUGUCAAAACCCAUCUCCUGUGAUUGAUGGAAGGAGAGCAAAUUGCAAUCUCGCAUCUCUUGGUGCACAGAAGAUUCGUCCACCAACUCCUCUAGAUGGUUCAGGAAGAUUUAGACCAGUCAGUGGCUUGCUUACUCCACCUGCUUAUUAUGGCACAUAUUACCAUCAACCUAGGGGUCAAUACACAUUUCUUUAUUCAGCUUAUGGAUACACUAGAUAUUCCAACAAUGCAGUGUGUCCUGUGAACUAUUAUAGUGUUUAUGGGGAUCAACAAUCUUCUCCUUUCUAUGCCAACAAUGGGACAGCAGGGCCACCCGGGAUGCUCCACAAUUUGUACCCGUUCUAUGCACAAUAUGCACAAAGUGGCCACCCUCAUGGUUUUGGAGUUCAAUAUCCCCAAAUGGUACAGUACCCGUAUUUGCCUCAGCACUAUGGCUCUACUGGGAUACUUUCUCUUCCUUCUUCAAUGGCAAUGCAAACCACAACAACAGCCGCAGCCGCAACAACAGAGGUGACUACAGGUGCAGGUGCUUCUCAGGCCACCGGAGUAGCAUCUGAACAAAAUUCAUCAACUUAGUCUUUACUGGGGAAAAACAAUGCUUUCUUGAAAGACUAAAAACAUGGCCAGAAGGGUGAAAAGCAUCACAAGCAAAAAACAAAGAAAGUGAACAAGAAAAUAACACUUUAUAUUACUGAUUCAAGAGGAUGCCUGAUCAGCUGGCAUAACAAGGGAAGGAGUGCAACGAUACAGAUUGGAAUCAUCCAUUUAUGGAGCAAUCGUGCAUAGACGUAUGUUCAAGCUUGUUCCAAUACCCGUCAACUUUGCUUUGUUAUUAGUUCACACGCAAGAUCAUCGUCUCCGUCAUCCUAUUUUUUGAGAGACUAAUUACUAGAUGGUAACGUCUUGGAUGCAAAGAGCAUCCAAUGACAAACUUGCUCAUAUUGGCAGUGAUCAAGGGCUCCAAAUUAGAUUGAUUUUAUAUCUUUGAACCCCCUAUUGGUUGGUCAAGUUGAAAAGGAGAGCUUGGAUGGCUGAGGCAUUUGACUUGUAAAUAUCGUGUCUGUUCAUUGUUCCAUGAAUCGUUCGUUUUAAGAAGAUAGGAUUAGUUGAGAAAAGGAUUUAGAUCGUCAUAUUUUUUUCUUGAUCUUGUGGAUAAUCAUAUAUUCUGAUCUUUCA